GGGGAUAUAGCUCAAUGGAAGAGCAAUUGAUUGCAAAUCAACUGGUCCCUGGUUCGAAUCCGGGUAUCCCUU